rnacentral:rRNA from 1 species
ACGCUCGACACCUACGGGAGGCUGCAGUGGGGAAUAUUGCACAAUGGGGGAAACCCUGAUGCAGCGACGCCGCGUGAGUGAAGAAGUAUUUCGGUAUGUAAAGCUCUAUCAGCAGGGAAGAGAAUGACGGUACCUGACUAAGAAGCCCCGGCUAACUACGUGCCAGCAGCCGCGGUAAUCUGAGCGGGCUGGCAAGGC